AAGAACAUAUCUGAGAGUAACUGUUCAGGUAUUGACGGUAUUUAACCAGAAAGCCACGGCUAACUACGUGCCAGCAGCCGCGGUAAUACGUAGGUGGCAAGCGUUGUCCGGAUUUAUUGGGCGUAAAGCGAGCGCAGGCGGUUUUUUAAGUCUGAUGUGAAAGCCUUCGGCUCAACCGAAGAAGUGCAUCGGAAACUGGGAAACUUGAGUGCAGAAGAGGACAGUGGAACUCCAUGUGUAGCGGUGAAAUGCGUAGAUAUAUGGAAGAACACCAGUGGCGAAGGCGGCUGUCUGGUCUGUAACUGACGCUGAGGCUCGAAAG
rnacentral:rRNA from 1 species